CGGACGGGUGAGUAACACGUGGAUAACCUACCUAUAAGACUGGGAUAACUUCGGGAAACCGGAGCUAAUACCGGAUAAUAUAUUGAACCGCAUGGUUCAAUAGUGAAAGACGGUUUUGCUGUCACUUAUAGAUGGAUCCGCGCCGCAUUAGCUAGUUGGUAAGGUAACGGCUUACCAAGGCAACGAUGCGUAGCCGACCUGAGAGGGUGAUCGGCCACACUGAACUGAGACACGGUCCAGACUCCUACGGGAGGCAGCAGCG
rnacentral:rRNA from 1 species